rnacentral:lncRNA from 1 species
UAUUAACUUUGAUAUUAUUUGACUUUAGAAUUUUAAUUCGAUCUUCAUGGUAAAAUUGUUUGAUCUUGAUUAACAUCUUGCUUUGCUUUAUUUUGCUUUAUAUUCUAUAUUGUACAUUUUUCAUUCUAAAAUGGACUAAAAAAUGGAUUAGACUUAAAAAUGUAAAAAAUACACUAAUUUCUAUGCAUGGAAAGGAAAUUGGAAUGUACUUAGGGACUUCUCAUUAGGACCCUUGCAAAGGACCUUGGACAAUUGUUUGACCCGAACAUGGAAGGAGCAUUCAAGACUCAAGAACUUGUAAUCUUUUUAUGUGCUUUUUUUUAUCUUUUAUUUCUUUUAUUUCUUGUUAGCAUUCCCUUAGGCAUUAGAAACAAUCACUAUUUCAAAAUCAAUAAGCAAACCCUUGAUCCAACGCCAAGCGGUCUUUCUUCGAAUCAAACUCGAAAACACAAUAAAUACGAUUAGGAUUGUACGUCACGAGCCUUAAAUGGUAAAGAAGGGAUGACAAUAGAGUUUUCCCACCCUCGUUCUGAAUGCUUCGUACACAAGACGUUUGACUUGGUAGUUCGAGGUAUUCACCUUUAUCCAUAGUCUUUAGUGCAAUCUGAAAUCAAUAACACUUUCUCAAAAUCUAAAAACAACUUAAACACAUUCAAACCUUUUGUUUGAGUCUUAGGGUAUCAUAAUCGAAAACUCUUCUUCAAGGUAAUAAAAUCAACAAAACAAAUAAUAUUUUUUUAUACCCACGAACUACGGACUCUGAUUUCUUACUUCAACAAGUGGGCAUACGUAGGCACAAGGACCCAAUCCUUGGCGAGCACACUAAUUUAAAAUCUACCUUCAUCCCGCAAACCUUUGGCAAGCAAACAUUCGAUAAACAACAUCCAUUUAAGCGCAAACAUUCUAGAUGGUUCCCAUGAAAUACCAUAGAUGUGAGGGGUGCUAAUGCCUUCCCCUUGCAUAACCGACUUCCGAACCUGUCCGUGGUUGCGACGCAUAUUCUUUGGGGUUACGAAACUAUAAAUAUGUAUUUUUAAAAAAUUGGUUAUGAAACCACAAUCAAACUUAAAAUCGGUUACAAAUCCGAUUUUGAGAAAUAAAUAUGAUUUUGGUUUUAGAUCCAGUUCAAAUAAAUGGUUAAUAUUUGAAUAUGUUUAGGUUUGUUAAAAAACCGAUCUAUGCACAACCCUAGAAAGUUUGAUUACCAAUGCAAAAGAUUGUAGUGGUUAUUUGUUUCCGAUGAGGGGAGGAUAACGAGGUUGAAAAGGUGGGUUUUGGGCUAGAAUAUAUCAUAUGAAACAUAGGUGGGGAUGAAUAUAUUAUAUGUUGGGUGUUAAUUGUGGAAAGAAAAUAAGGAGGUUGGAGGUUAUAGGUUAUAGGUUUUUUUUUUCAUGUAGACAUAAAUAAGUUAGAAAUAAUCUAGUUAGGAAUGUUAGGUCACACACUUAAUACACCUAUCACACUUAUGGUGUCAUACUCGUUUAAUUGGAGAGGUAAGGUCAUACACAUUUAACACACCCAUCACACUUAUGGUG